GCGCGAUUAGCUCAGCGGGAGAGCGCUUCCCUGACACGGAAGAGGUCACUGGUUCAAUCCAGUAUCGCGCACCA
rnacentral:tRNA from 1 species